rnacentral:rRNA from 1 species
CUUGAGCGUUGACGUUACCUACAGAAGAAGCACUGGCUAACUCUGUGCCAGCAGCCGCGGUAAUACAGAGAGUGCAAGCGUUAAUCGGAAUUACUGGGCGUAAAGCGCGCGUAGGUGGAUACUUAAGUCGGAUGUGAAAGCCCUGGGCUUAACCUGGGAAUUGCACCCGAUACUGGGUAUCUCGAGUAUGGUAGAGGGAAGUGGAAUUUCCGGUGUAGCGGUGAAAUGCGUAGAUAUCGGAAAGAACACCAGUGGCGAAGGCGGCUUCCUGGACCAAUACUGACACUGAGGUGCGAAAGCGUGGGGAGCAAACAGGAUUAGAGACCCUGGUAGUCCACGCCGUCAACGAUGAGAACUAGCUGUUGGAGAGUUUACUUUCUAGUAGCGAAGCUAACGCGUUAAGUUCUCCGCCUGGGGAGUACGGCCGCAAGGUUAAAACUCAAAGAAAUUGACGGGGGCCCGCACAAGCGGUGG